UCGACAGUCGAUCUCAAGAAAGAAAAAGAAAAGGCGAGAGCCAGACACACUACUCACAUUAGUAUGCCUGUUAGCAUCUUCAAAGCCUCUGAUUACUAUGGCAUAAUGGAUGAAUCUUGCAAAUUUACGAUUGUGGGUCGAUUCCUAAGACCCCGCCCCCAAAUUAAUAGAAUUAGGUCAAGAUUCAAGGAAAUUGUUCCUCUUAAGGAGUUGGUGAGAAUUGGGUUUAUGAUAACCAUAAUGUUUUUAUUGACCUAUUUAAUGAGGAUGAUUGUAAAACAGUUUGGUUUUGGAGGGUCAUUGAAAUUGAUGGUAUGCGAAUGUGAUUGCAAAAAUGGUCUCCAGAUUUCAAGCCAGAGGAAGACUUUCAUGUGGCUCCUGUGUGGGUUCUCUUGCCUGGUUUGCCAUUCCAUAUGCAUGAUUGACAUUAUGUUAAACAACUUCUAAGCUCAGUCGGAAUACCUCUAGCUUUGGAUGCUGCAACUAUGGGAAGAACAACGCCAAGCAUGGCUAAAAUUAAGUUGAAGUGGACCUGUUGAAGCCACUACCUCAAAGUAUAUUUGUUGGCAAAGAUCAUGAGGAUUCUCCUCUCAAAGGAUACACUCAAAAACUGGAGUAUGAAGGAGUACCAAAAUAUUGUAAACACUAUAGGAAAAUUGGUCAUUACAUGAUCAAUUGCAGAGCUCUAGAAAAAAAAACUGAAAAUAAAGAAGAAGAAAAAGAGACUCAGAAUCAAGGAAAUGGCAAUCAGUUAACCAUUGAACAAGAGGGGAGCAAGGCUAAUGUGAGCAGUAAUGAAAAACCUCAAAAUCUGCUGACUCCAGAAAUCACACAAAAACAACAAAAUAAAGAGGUCAAUUGCAAAAACAAAAAGAAUAGAAAGAAGAAGAUCAGAAGAAGACUGAGAAAAUGCCAAAAAAGAGUAAAGUUGUGUUCAAGCCGGCUAACAGCAAAAGAAGAGAAGGAUAUGUCUCAACAUCAUAGAAAAAUGACUUUACUAGGCAAUCCAUUGAAGAAAGUAUCCUUAGCCCCUCAACAAAAACAACACCUGUCAACAGGAACAAACAGAUGAGAAUAUCAACAAGGUUACAUAUGAUGAAUUAAAUGAGCUUAAUAGACCAGAGGAUUAACAUUUGAAAAAUAGCCUUAUACAAACCAAUCAAGAAGACAAAACUGAGGGGAUACACAGUCAAGAGCAGGGUGGUGAACCCAGUUCUUCUACUGUCCCAAUAGAAAUAAGGAAUCUACCGGGGCUUCAACUGGUAGUGCACUUAUAUGAAAACAAGGAAGAAUGCAACUAUAUUAAUCAAGAAAAUGACAUUUCUGAUAGCUUGCAAGGAGCAUAACAGAUGAACAAACAGCAAGAAUUGAGAAAGAAGAUCAAUAUUCCCAUACCAUUAUAGAAGAUCAAUAACAGAAUACAAGGAGAGAAAGAAGUGAAACCAGAAAAAUAGCAAAAGAUACAAGAACAUAACUCAACCUUCAAUAAGAAUUAAAAGGAAGACAACCCCCAGAUGAUCUCAAUGGUUAAUGCUCUAUUUUGAAAUAUUAGGGGAGUUAGAUCCUAAAAGCCAUUUACAGGCUAAAGAAACUGAUUAACAUCAACAACACUCAAUAUGUGUCUAUCUUUGAACCUUUUGUCUCAAAAGAAAAAUUAAAUGGUUAUAAGAAAUUAUUAGGUUUCCAACACUGUUGUUGCAAUAAUAUUGGCUACGUCUGGUGUUUUUUGAAUUCUUACAACACUACUACAGUCACUGCCAUCAGUGAUCAACAUAUUACUGUCAGACCCUUUUUUUUUACCUCACUUAACCCUCUUAUAAAUAAUAAAAAGAUUUUAUAAAGAUCAAAAAGGGUUUUCAAUAUUGAAAGGUGACAAAAUUGGUGUUUUAAAGGAUUUUCAGAGUCGCCACCUGACAUUUGGUUUCGGUGUGCCAGGUCACCGUUUUUAAAAUAACAAUUUUCUUUCAAAACACAUUUGACCCUUAAACCAGUUUGCACCAGAGUUCUAGAUAAGGGGGUUUAUUUGACUCAGGGAGAAGGUGUUAGCAUUCCCCGAGUCCCGUGAAAGUCACGGUUGCGUACUCGAUCUAGUUGGCAUUUAAAAUAUUUAAAUUGAGGUAAAAAUAAAUAUAGAAAAUAAAAAUAAACACACAAGAGGCUGGAGGUCAUUCCCACCUAAUAAAAGAAAAAUGAAAAUGAAUAUUGAAAAACUACGAGUUCUACUUUCGGCCUCCAAAUACAAAUACUUCGGGGCAUACCCCGGAUAAAAAUAUAUACAAAUUUUGCGGGGCAUUCCCCGGAUAAUAAACUAAAAGAAACGACAUCUCGCCUCAAAAGAAAUUAAAAUACGAAAGUCCUAAAAGUUUGCCUACCCAAAUUUGACGGCCUAAACAUGCCGCUAACGGUUAAAUAACUAAGAGAACAAAAGUGUAGCAAUCUGUUUCGUUGGUCUUUAACACUGUUAAACUCCCUAUGUCACAUUUAUCAUUGCUCUUCCUAAUCUAACUUCACUAUACAAUUAGGAAUUCAUAAAAUAGCAAGAAACAUUCUUAAAGAUUUUAAACUAAUUUCAAACAAAAUGAAACAAACAAAUCAAACUAACAUACUAAUGAACAGACAAUUAAAGCAUAUCGAACAAAAAUCACAUAAUAAAAUUAAGGAAUUUAUGGGAAGAGAAAAUGGAUUGGACCUUUAAACCCAAAUGUUUGGUAGCACAAGACUGAAAAACGAGCGACGAAAGCUAGAUCGGACCUCAAUUGAACUAGAAACACUAUUGACCAAGCGCCGCAAACAGGACACCUCGAAGAAUCGAAAGGUUCACGGGAAACUUUGCUUGACUUGAGAAGCUAACCAAAUUUGAAUCACUUUGGGAGUUUAAUGAAGAAGAACAAAUCAAAGAUAUGUUGAGCAGCUUGAGCAACAAGAAAGUUCGAUCACAAUCUCACACCAGGUUGCUACUGGCGGCGGUUCUUUGUGUAGGAGAGGUCGACAACUGGGGAUGGGGGUAAGGCCACUGGUUUGCCGGCGGCUUGGUGGUUCAGGGGAUGGAGGCCAUUCUUUUUCCGGCAAGUUUUUUGGCGGGGUAGCAGCUAGGUCAUGGGGAAUUAGGGAGUGUGCUCCUAGGGUGUCUAGGUUAGAGAAGAAGAAGAGUGGUCCUAGGGUUUUCUUGUGUGUGAGAGAUGACUGCUUUUUUUUUUCUUGCAAGGGUGAAGAAGAGGGGUCCUAGGUUAAGAAUUAGGUCUCUUUUUAGUGAAGUGGGAGGUAUGGGCUAAGGGAAAAUUUCAAAAAUUG
rnacentral:lncRNA from 1 species